rnacentral:SRP_RNA from 1 species
GGGCGGGUCCUGUGCAACGGGACGCUGUGAACCAUGUCAGGCGGGGAACCGAGCAGCAUUAAGCAGUAUUUCCGUGUGCCGCAGUAAAUCGGCUCAUU